AUUGGGAAGGAAGGAAGUUGGGGAAGAGGGAGGGACCUACUAGACGUUUGCUCGUUAUGAAGCGUGAGAUAUGGAGUGAUGUCCAAGACUGACUCUCAGUGUGAACACAUGCACGUAACCAGCAUCUAGACCAAGAGACAGUGUCACCAGCGUCCAUGUAACCAGCAUCUAAACCAAGAGACAGCGUCACCAGCCUCCAUGUAACCAGCAUCUAGACCAAGAGACAGCGUCAACAGCAUCCAUGUAACCAGCAUCUAGGCCGAGAGACAGCGUUACCAGCGUCCAUGAACUCCGUAGGCUUUCUUCCAGUUACCACUCCUUGCUAGGUGAGGAGGAGAGGUAGGAGCCACUGAGAGCUGGACGUCGUGCACCAUUACUGCGCUCUGGAGGUCAGUGGACCUUCCCAUGUCACAUCCUG